AACAGGGGAGAGGAAUUAGGCUUACUUUAUUUAAAAACAAGUCAGUCUUUUUCUCUCUCCUAUU
rnacentral:pre_miRNA from 1 species